GACGAACGCUGGCGGCGUGCCUAAUACAUGCAAGUUGAGCGCUGAAGGUUGGUACUUGUACCAACUGGAUGAGCAGCGAACGAGUGAGUAACGCGUGGGGAAUCUGCCUUUGAGCGGGGGACAACAUUUGGAAACGAAUGCUAAUACCGCAUAAAAACUUUAAACACAAGUUUUAAGUUUGAAAGAUGCAAUUGCAUCACUCAAAGAUGAUCCCGCGUUGUAUUAGCUAGUUGGUGAGGUAAAGGCUCACCAAGGCGAUGAUACAUAGCCGACCUGAGAGGGUGAUCGGCCGCAUUGGGACUGAGACACGGCCCAAACUCCUACGGGAGGCAGCAGUAGGGAAUCUUCGGCAAUGGACGAAAGUCUGACCGAGCAACGCCGCGUGAGUGAAGAAGGUUUUCGGAUCGUAAAACUCUGUUGGUAGAGAAGAACGUUGGUGAGAGUGGAAAGCUCAUCAAGUGACGGUAACUACCCAGAAAGGGACGGCUAACUACGUG
rnacentral:rRNA from 1 species